rnacentral:rRNA from 1 species
GAUGAACGCUGGCGGCGUGCCUAAUACAUGCAAGUCGAGCGAACGGACGAGAAGCUUGCUUCUCUGAUGUUAGCGGCGGACGGGUGAGUAACACGUGGAUAACCUACCUAUAAGACUGGGAUAACUCCGGAAACCGGGCGCAAUAACCGGAUAAUUUUUUAACCCGCUUGUUCCAAAGGUAAAAGCCGUUUUUCCUGUCCCUUAUACUUGGACCCGCGCUGCAUUGGCUAGUUGGUAAGGUAACGGCUUACCAAGGCAACGAUGCAUAGCCGACCUGAGAGGGUGAUCGGCCACACUGGAACUGAGACACGGUCCAGACUCCUACGGGAGGCAGCAGUAGGGAAUCUUCCGCAAUGGGCGAAAGCCUGACGGAGCAACGCCGCGUGAGUGAUGAAGGUCUUCGGAUCGUAAAACUCUGUUAUUAGGGAAGAACAUAUGUGUAAGUAACUGUGCACAUCUUGACGGUACCUAAUCAGAAAGCCACGGCUAACUACGUG